rnacentral:ncRNA from 10 species
GUGAACCUGCGGAAGGAU